rnacentral:lncRNA from 1 species
UAAAUGUCAGUGCUAGCACCUUGUAUAGAAUUGUGUUUGAUGCAGAAAGCUCUGGAACUUGAAUUCAUGUUUAAACCUUUUUGCAGAAAAUACCAGGACAGCUUCCAGUUCUGGAAGGGAAAAUCUUUGGUUCUGUGAAUCCAGCACUUCAUGCUUUUGUAAAUCAACCUAAGCAGGGUGCUGAGACUGUUGAAGAACUCCUAGAGGUGGCCAAAGACUCAAUUCCCCAAAGUCACUGGAAAAGGACCCCAGUGAUCCUGAAGGCAACAACAGAUCUGUGCUUACUGCCCAAACAGAAAGUCCAGGCUCUGCUCUUGGGAGAAGAUCUUCAAGAAGUCACCUUUCCCAGUCCCAGAUGACAUUGGUAGCAUCAUGGAUGGAUUAUGAAGGCAUAUUGGCUUGGGUUACUGUGAGUUUCCUAACAGGUAAGCUACAUGGCCAUAGUCAGGAGACCGUCAGGACUCUGGACCUUAGAGGGCCUCCACCCAAAUCAUGUUCCUGCUGUAGUUUGAGAAAACCCUGGAAUAAACCCCUAAGGAAAACCUCACUUCCUCUGAGAAGAUCUAUACACAUAGUUACUUGGGAUUUGGAUUGAAAGCUGCAGGACUAGCAACCCUGGGAGCCCCGCAAACAGAAAGGAUUGAUGGAUACAUAUUCCAAAGUGCCUGUCUACCAAGAUGUUGGAAGCAGAAUGGAUCUUUGUGGGUGUGAAAUGCCAGUUUGGUGGCAACUGAGAAGGAGAGAUGUAGCCCUGCUACAAUGAAGUGCUGGGGGUGGUGUAAGGAAAGCUUCAUCAGCCAGAGGAGAUCCAAGGAGGCUCCUUCUAUGCUUUCUCUGACCAAGUGGUUGAAACACACAUGCUUGAUUAUGAAAAAGGAGGGUGUUUUAAAAGUUGAAGACUUUGAAGGAAAAGCCAGGGAAGUGUGUGAUAACUUGGAGAACUUCACCUCAGGAAGUCCUUUCCUAUGCAUGGAGCUCAUACAUCACUGUCCUGCUAAAAGAAGGCUUUGGCUUUGCAGAUAGCACCCUCUUACAGCUCACCAAGAAAGUGAGCAACAUGGAGACAGACUGGGCCUAGGGGGCCACCUUUCCCCUGUUGCAGUCUGUGGGCAUCUCCCACUGAGGCCAAGCACUUCCUCUGAGGUCUGCAUUCACCAACAACCUUUUUAAGGGGAGAAGAAGAAAAGACUU